GACAGAGGGUGCAAACGUUGUUCGGAAUUACUGGGCGUAAAGGGCGCGUAGGCGGCCGACUAAGUCAGACGUGAAAUCCCCAGGCUCAACCUGGGAACUGCGUCUGAUACUGGACGGCUCGAGUUCGGGAGAGGGAAGUGGAAUUCCGGGUGUAGUGGUGAAAUGCGUAGAGAUCCGGAGGAACACCAGUGGCGAAGGCGACACGCUGGGCCGUACCUGACACUGAUGCGCGACAGCAUGGGGAGCAAACAGG
rnacentral:rRNA from 1 species